CAAUAGCGUAUAUUUAAGUUGUUGCAGUUAAAAAGCUCGUAGUUGGAUUUCGGGUGGGACGCAGCGGUCUCGCAUUGCGUUUGUACUGCUGCAGCCCUCCUUCUUGCCGGGAGCGGCCUCUCGGACUUCACUGUCUGGGGGUCAGAAUCGGCGAUGUUACUUUGAGUAAAUUAGAGUGUUCAAAGCAAGCUUACGCUCUGAAUAUAAUAGCAUGGGAUAACACGACAGGACUCUGGCCUAUCGUGUUGGUCUAUAGGACCAGAGUAAUGAUUAAGAGGGACAGUCGGGGGCAUUCGUAUUCCGUUGUCAGAGGUGAAAUUCUUGGAUUUACGGAAGACGAACAUCUGCGAAAGCAUUUGCCAAGGAUGUUUUCAUUGA
rnacentral:rRNA from 1 species